CGCAGACGGUCCCUUUCAGCACUUUUCGGAGUGGAUAACACGGACGCCAUACAAACCUGGCGGCCAAGGGCACAUUGGAUGGCCCUUGGCGCUGGGCCAAGUUUUUCUCUGCUGUUGCCGGCGCCGCAUCCUAUCUGUCCAUAUUGCUGUGGUGUCCGUUGUACAGCAGGCGGAGUCACAACUGCACAGGUCUGCGUGAGGUAGUCUUAGGCCAUGCGCCACUUUUUUCAGUGCAUGUCGCAGGCGCUGCGCGAGCACGUGCUCGUACCAUUGAGCCAGCUAACGUGGGCCGAGGUGCUGGUCGCUGUAUCCGUCGGUGUUCUAGGUGGCAUCUUUCCGGUACCCUUCGUGACGUCAUUAAUCACGCUUGUGAUUGGGUAUUACUUACGAUGCACGGCGACAGAGCUCGUGCUUGCCUCUACUGUAAACUUCUUCUGCACGCCCCUCCAGUUUGCGCUGCUACCCUCGCUUGCGCGCCUUGCAGGGUUUCUUGCGCAAGCGGAGGUUGACGCCUUCACCGCGCACGCGCUCCACGAGUCCCUUAGGGUGGGCUAUACCACCUUCCUGAGGUCUUGCGGCCGCAUGAUCUUCUACGCUACAGUGGGGUGGUUCUUCGUUGCCAUUCCAAUCGUCAUGGUUCUCCGCUCUGUUCAGCGGUGCAUUUUGCAUCGCCACGUGCACAAAGGAAUGGCCGAGUAACGCCGAAUGCCGACUCAGUGUUGGUGCUGUACCUCCCGUCCACGUCCUCCUGUUCGCGUUCGCGUGAGUCGUUACAUCUGUGACUGUCCUCCUUACUGCUGUGCCACUGCUGCUUCCCCGCGCUUGGCGGUGUUUUGAACGCAAGAUGCACCGGUGUCUCCUCGCGCCCACCGCGUUGCUCUCAUCUCGUCACCGUUCCUACCGCAUUUUCUCGUUGCUGUGCUCCCCCCCGCCGCCGCGGCAAUAUCCGAUUGCGAGCGAUGUCCGCCCUGUCCCUUUCCGCGCCCGCUGCCAG
rnacentral:misc_RNA from 1 species